UUGAAACUGGUUUACUAGGAUACGAAUGCUGUGGGAGGAAUGUGUAAUGUAGCGGUGAAAUGCAUAGAUAUUACACAGAACACCGAUUGCGAAGGCAUCUCACAAAUUCGUCAUUGACUGCUGAGGCACGAAAGUGCGGGGAUCAAACAGGAUUAGAUACCCUGGUAGUCCGCACAGUAAACGAUGAUAACUCGCUGUUGGUACAUUCGUAUCAGUAGCCAAGCGAAAGCGAUAAGUUAUCCACCUGGGGAGUACGACCGCACGGUUGAAACUCAAAGGAAUUGACGGGGGCCCGCACAAGCGGUGGAGCAUGUGCUUUAAUUCGAUGCAAACGCGAAGAACCUUACCUAGGCUUGACAUGGGGGUGAAAUUCUGGUAGAAAUAUAGAACCUUCCGCAAGGAACACCCUACACAGGUGCUGCAUGGUUGUCGUCAGCUCGUGUCGUGAGAUGUUAAGGUUAAAGUCCUUGCAACGAGCGCAAC
rnacentral:rRNA from 1 species